rnacentral:misc_RNA from 1 species
AGAUCCGGGCAGGUUUUUAACGAAAUUUGAUCCACAAUUGUUUCAUAAAAUGCUGCGACAAAAGUCCGGUUUUGAUAGGACAGUGACUAUCUGACACUGAUAUAUUCAUUCAAGAUGAAAAGGACACUGUGUAUUUGCAUCUGCUUUUGCCUGCUGCAAACCGAGGCCGGUUUCUUCAGCAGUCAAAUCGACAAAUUAAAGAACAAAGCCAAAGCAGCGUACAAGAGCAAACGUGGAAAAGGCAAAAAUUCCAAAUCUGGAUUUAUUUCAAUUUACUCUCUGCAAAACAGCAGGUCCCACUUUGAACUUCUGGGGCCAUGAACAGAGCGAAUACCCCGGGGCAAAUGCCCAGUUUCGGGAGGAAAACAGAGCCAAAUGGGAGGAGUAUUAUCAGUGCCUAAACUCCCAAGCUAACAACCUGAAUAGCCAAAAUUCCGUGACUCCUGAAGCGAUAAUAGGCUUUGAAACCUCUUCGAUCAGUCUGACCUGCAAACUAUGUCUGAGUCCUUUGGAAAGCCAGAAUAAAGACGCGAUAACUUGGGAGUUCGCGAGGCAACAGGAUGAGGCGAUGUCUCCUGUUGAGUUUACCGAACACACGCUUUUAUCACCCGAGGACAGAACAUUGCAGAUUUUCAAUCUGAAGAGCGAAAAUAGCGGCCAGUAUAUGUGCAAGCUGGGCAAUGCGGUGGUGGCGCCUUAUUUUCUCACUGUGGUCAAUAUUUCCGAGACGAGUAUGCACCAAGUCCAUAGUCCAGCAGCCCCUUCAGGGCCUUACUCCAAAAAACCGGAAGAAAUUGCCUUUAAUCUAGUCCUGGACACUGAAUGGGGCGAAUGGUCUACCUGCAGCACAUGCGGCAAUGUGGGCAGGAAACACAAAAUGGGCUACUGCAAUGUGUACCGAAAAGCGCUCGAAAGCAACAACCGCACCAAAAGAUCAGCCGAAGAAUUGGAGGAAAUUUUCCAGAUAUUCAAGUAUGGUAUUCCAUGCCAAAGUCACAUUCUCCCUCCAGAGGUUCGCCGACUGCCGGCAGUUCAAGCUAGACGAAACGAAAUAAUGACCGGAUUCUGCCAUGUAAAGUGCCCGGAAAAUCUGGUGUUUGAAGUGAGAGACAAAGAAGGCAAAGUUAUCGAGAGAGCGGACAAUUCAGAGGGGAUUUACUCGCUGUCGCAAAAACUGCCCCCCAUGGAGCCGUCAACAGAGCGCCGCCUACAAUAUGAGGCCAAAGGAAAGGAUCUUGUCCUCGAAUGUCCUGGGUAGGAAUUUCCAUUGAUUAUGACCAAUUAACCAAUUAAUCCCCGAAAAAAAUCAGGAACAUCAACAGCGACGCUCCAAUCCUGUGGCAAAUCGGCGACAAAAACCUCAUCCCGGAGAAAAUAGCGAAAGAAUCGAAUGGACGAGUCUACAUCAGCAUCACCGAUCGCGUUCAUAUCAAAAAGGCGAAAAUUUCCGAUUCAAACAUCUACAGCUGUUGGCAACUGCAAGAGUUAGCCGGGACCAUUCGCUUGGUAGUAGAAAAGCGCUAUGAAUUCAACUUCAACCAUACGCUAAUGCUCUUAGGAGUUGUUCUAAUCAUGGGAACAUUUCUCUAUGUUUUCGUCAAAGUGAUAGCCAACAGAGAGUUAUCUAAAACCAGACUGGACACGCUUGUUGUGAAGAACCGGCCCAAAAGAAUCCCGUAAUUAUAUGACUAAAUGAUCGAAUAAAUGGAUUGAACUUAAUUCGCCAAAUUUUGAGUCGUUUUAAUAAUUAUAGAAUAAU